UACGUAGGUGACAAGCGUUGUCCGGAUUUACUGGGCGUAAAGAGCGCGCAGGCGGUCGAUCAAGUCGAGUGUGAAAGCCCCCGGCUCAACUGGGGAGGGUCAUUCGAUACUGAUCGACUCGAAGGCAGGAGAGGGUAGUGGAAUUCCCGGUGUAGUGGUGAAAUGCGUAGAUAUCGGGAGGAACACCAGUGGCGAAGGCGACUACCUGGCCUGUUCUUGACGCUGAGGUGCGAAAGCAUGGGGAGCAAACAGG
rnacentral:rRNA from 1 species